rnacentral:rRNA from 1 species
AUACGGAGGAUGCGAGCGUUAUCCGGAUUUAUUGGGUUUAAAGGGAGCGUAGGUGGGAUAUUAAGUCAGCUGUGAAAGUUUGGGGCUCAACCUUAAAAUUGCAGUUGAUACUGGUUUCCUUGAGUACGGUACAGGUGGGCGGAAUUCGUGGGGUAGCGGUGAAAUGCUUAGAUAUCACGAAGAACUCCGAUUGCGAAGGCAGCUCACUAGACUGUUACCGACACUGAUGCUCGAAAGUGUGGGUAUCAAACAGGAUUAGAUACCCUGGCAGUCCACACAGUAAACGAUGAAUACUCGCUGUUUGCGAUAUACAGUAAGCGGCCAAGCGAAAGCAUUAAGUAUUCCACCUGGGGAGUACGCCGGCAACGGUGAAACUCAAAUGAAUCGACGGGG